rnacentral:rRNA from 1 species
UACAGAGGUCCCAAGCGUUGUUCGGAAUUACUGGGCGUAAAGCGCGUGUAGGCGGCCCUGCAAGUCGGAUGUGAAAUCCCACGGCUCAACCGUGGAAGUGCAUUCGAAACUGCAGGGCUAGAGUCCUGGAGAGGAAGGUGGAAUGCUUGGUGUAGAGGUGAAAUUCGUAGAUAUCAAGCGGAACACCGGUGGCGAAGGCGGCCUUCUGGACAGUGACUGACGCUGAGACGCGAAAGCGUGGGGAGCAAACAGG